CAAAGUGUAGAUACACCUGAGAAGGUGAAACAUAAACUCCACUGCCAGCAGAUCGGCAAGGUAACUUAGAAGAGUGGAAGCUUGCUCACCUGUACUGACAAAAGAAGUGGCCAAAGAAAAUGGAGCCUUGAGGACAGGUGGACAGCAGCAUUGAACGGAAACUGAUGGCCUCACUCAUCUCUUUACCCACACUUGUCUACCUGCUCAUCUCCACUAACGCCAGCCUCCUCAUUCUGGAUCAUGCCCUCCUCUCAGUGGGAUCAGGGCCUUUGUCCUUGCUGAUCCCACUUCCUGGAUCACUCUUCCCCCAGACAGUCUCAGUGCUCCUUUUCUUGCCUCCUGCAGAUCUUUGCUCAAAAGGUAGCUUCUCCCAGGGUCUUAUUUGACAUUGUAUCCCUCUGGCAUUCCCAGUUGCUCAUUCCUGGCUCAUUAUAUACAAUGUGUUUAUUUUAAAACAUCUAUUACUCCCAACAUGAUUGAAGCCUCUUUAAGGACAGGAUUGUUUGUUAUUUUCAAUUCUAUAUCCUUAGCACCAAGCACAUUGUCUGUCAUAUGGUUGGUCUGACAUCUUCCCUCAGUAAAUAUUUACUAAAUAAACUUACUAAUCAACAAGUAUCACAAAAAUAAUCCAUAUGUCACAGUGACAUAUUUUACAGUGGCAUAUUCUGAUCCCUUUCAGCUCCUAGCCCAUACUAAGCAAAGGUUACUAUUCUAUGUGGCUGCAAAAACAUCAGCCAGUGAAAGAGGAGUCUUUCUAUAGGCAAGCAGGCAGGUUCCUAGCAUUUUUUAAGGUGGAAGUCAUUCACUAGAGCGGACAAAUCUUUGAUUUUUUGAACUGGGGAAUGAUUGUUUGGUUUCUAAGUCCUGCUUGGCUUGAGCAAACAUAUGCCUGGCUUAUUGUCAAUAACCUUCUUAGUUAGGCAAACAGGUGACAAUGUCAACAGUAAUUUCAAAAAUAUGUAUGCUGGCAAAAUAAACUCUGCCUUUGGAAACCUCAUCGCUGCUUUUAAGUUACUCAGGCAGCCUAGGACAUUGUGUGCCACUGCACUGAUGUUGCCCUUCGACAAAACUGGCACUGGCAGCUAGCAGUCAAAUUUGAAAUGUUUCAGGCAACAGAGCUGCUUUGGAAUCUUUCCCACAUACCAAUAAAUCUCUUGAUCUUGGGAAAACAUUUCCCGAUAUUCAGGAACUUUUCUAUUGUUCCUUGCAACUUUCCUCAGAGGACACAUAAGGCUUUCCUAGACAUUUUGACGCCCACAUAACCUUUAUAUACUAAGUGUUCAGGUCAGAAUUAAGCGACAUUCACUGGGAGCUGUGAUUUGAACACUAAUUGUCUGCUUUUCUAAAAUUUGGGCGGUGAAGAAAGGCCCUGAGAAUUUCUUUUCAUUGAGUGGAAGUCCCGUGAAUGGAGUUUGAUUCUGCUCUGUCUUCACAACGAUGUCAGUAUCAUAUUAUCCCUAAUGUACUCUCAGCGAGGAGCUAGCUGCUACUGAAAGUUUCAGAUUUUAGGUAAAAAUAAAUCUGUGAUACAAUCGCCUUUCUCCUGUUAACCAGCUUAUUGUUGAAGUUAAGCAUUCUUGAAGACAUGCGCAUUUGGUAAUCUAAUGUAUGAUCAGAUUUUCACACUCUAAACAAAUCAUUUUUCCUACAGUAUGUGCCUUGAACAUUAACUCUAUGAGGUGCUUCAUGAAAAGGAAAGUUUUCUAAGGCUAUGUGACUUAAGAAAUCUGUAUCUAAUCCUCUUUUGUAGAGUUGUCAUAUAUAUUAAUGACCUGAAAAGGGCUACAAAGACUAAGUCUGUUUCACUUGACUUAUCCAGAACUUGCCAAAUUUAUUUGACUGUAAUUCCCUUUUUCUUUUGUUAAAUCUGGUGACAUUCUGUAGAACUAGCAAGCAUUCUAGGAAACUCUGCUUGGACAACACUGUUUUAAAUACAACAAACAGUCGAACGUUGUUCAGAAGUCAUAGUUCUCAAAACUUCAGCCUUUGGUUUUUUGGCAGUCCCUGUAUAGGAUUGUUUUGAGUAGGGGUCUUCAAACUUUUUCUAUAAAGGGGCACAUAGUAAAUAUGUUAGGCUUUAUAAGACACGUAGUCUCUGUCUGUCCUUUCCAACUAACUCCACUGUGCCAUUGUCAUAUGAAAUUAGCUGCAGAUAAAAUGUAAACAAAUGAGUGCAACUGUGUUCCAACGAAACUUUAUUACCAAAAAUAGGCCACAGACUCAAUUUGAGCCAUAGGUUAUAGUUUGCAACCUGCUUUAGAGUGAGGCAACCACCUCUCAUUCAUAUUUCAGUUAUCUAAUACCUAAAGAGUACGUGGAAGAUUAAAAAGAAGGUUAUUGUGACUUUGUUCGGUGGCCAAACCUGGUCAACCUUAACUUUUAAAAGACUGGAGUGUAGUUCACUUAGGUAAGUAUGUAAAAUCCAUCUCAUGCUAAUCAUAACCAAGGUGAUCCGGCAUCCUCAGAGAAGGUCCAGAACUUGUCUGUCGUUUGACACUCAGAGAACGAGAUACAGGAUCAACUAGGAAUUUUGUCCAAGAUACCAGAUGAUCAUCAGUGAAUAGCCAUAAGAGCCAGAUUUCCUGGGUCUCGCUGAAGGCUGUUCAGAGGACAGAUUCUCAGGGUAGGAAGCAUUUCAGUAUGAUUGCAAGGACAAAGAAAGAGAAUGUGUUUCUGCUUCUGGCCAACAGUGGGAGCAAGAGUCAACCAUUGCAGACAGCCACAUGACCCAGGUGGAAAAGAAAUCAUGAUCUGCUCAGGAAUGCAAGGAUUUUCUUGUGCAUGCCUCCUGGCCAUUUCUCUGCUCUUUGACAACCUUCCUUCACAGGACUGGGAGAGCCCAAGUUAAGGUAAAGAAAGAUUAAACACACAAGCACUGCUGUACCCUGAGAAGUACACCAGGUCCCUGGAUUCAUUGCUCCUGGUGCUGACUAUGAAGAAUCUGGAUCUCCUGCUUCCAAACAAGUACUUCUAGAGAUUGUACUCCACUGGCUACCACUUUAUUUAAGCUUUAAUAUGGUGGGAUAUGUAUCAUUAUUUUACUUACAAGAAAAGGGAAAACACUCUCUUCUGAGUCAAAUAAUAAAGCCCUGAUAAUAUGUUUGCAUUAUAUGUAUUCAAGCAAUAGUCACUCACCACUUGAGAAGAGUUUCUUAUUUACAAAAGCUUGUGUUCAAAUAGUUACAAGUACCAAAUUCAUCCUAGUGCAUACCCAGAUGGUUUUAAUUUGGACAAAAAUAAAUUAGCAAGAAAUUAAGUCUCAAAUUAAAUGACUUAAAAGGCUUUUAGUUAUGAAGUUUCAUUACUCUUUGCAGAAUCAUAGGAUCACCAGUGCUAGAAAUGGGAGAAAUUCUACAGUAAGUUUUGUGAAGUUGACAGUAUUGGCAAAAAUAAUUUGAAAAAAAGGAGGAAAGGCAAAGACUCUAUUUAGUAAUGGGGAACUUGCCAGGGUUGUUUUUCUAUCCUUUUAAUUUGAAGUAGACACUGAUGUUCAAUAUACGUCUUGAUCAACGCACUUAUCUGACUUUGAUUUUCUUUGACAUCAAGGUAGUAGUUUUUUAAAUAUCAGCCUUAAUUGGCUAGGCAAAACUCUUGUUUAAACAUAAUGUGCUUAGUUAAUAGCCCACACUUUACAAGACUUUUUCCCAGGUAUGAUUAGCCAGACCUAUGUAAAAUUUGUUUCAUAAAUAGUAGAAUACCUGCAAGAUCCCAUAUUAUAAGCGGAAUGGUAGAGCUGGACAGUUCGUGUGCAUUCACUUAUUAUAAUAUCUUCACUUUGCAACUGUAAUAACCAAGGCCCAGCAGGAUUAGUUGGCAAUUCAACACUGCCCAACUUGUAGUAGCAGAGCUCCUUAAAGCCAUAUUUUGAAAUUAGUACAUUAUUCCAUGUUAGUGUUUAUGUGGUUCUUGACUUGCCCAGAGGAAACUCUGUUGGAGAAGCAUGGGAACUCUAGAGGGACAAAUGCCAAAUGCAGGAAUGUGUACUGAACACCAUUCAGCAUCGUUCUGCUCCUGGACACUGUAGGUUGCUGAACUGAAAGCACAUGUUUAGUGUAUGAAGAUGUAAGAUUGUAAACGAUGUGUCAUAAUGUCCUUCAUAUAGAAACUAGAGAGAAGCUCUGAGUAUGGCUAACAUUCUUCUAACUCAAAAUGAAGACACACAUUGUGAAGGAUGUGAAUAUAUUUAAGGCUAUAAUGUGACCAUACAUGAGAUUCAAAACUUUCCUCUACAAUGAGGACAGAGAAAUUGCUUUACUAUGGAAAUAGUCUGUCCAGGUGCAGUGGUUCAUGCCUGUAAUCUCAGCACUUUGGGAGGCUAAGGUUAGUGAAUCACCUGAGGU